rnacentral:rRNA from 1 species
AUUGAACGCUGGCGGAAUGCUUUACACAUGCAAGUCGAACGGUAGAGGGGGCAACCCCUUGAGAGUGGCGAACGGGUGAGUAAUAUAUCGGAACGUGCCCAGUCGUGGGGGAUAACGUAGCGAAAGUUACGCUAAUACCGCAUACGAUCUAAGGAUGAAAGCGGGGGACUCGCAAGAGCCUCGCGCGAUUGGAGCGGCCGAUAUCAGAUUAGGUAGUUGGUGGGGUAAAGGCUCACCAAGCCAACGAUCUGUAGCUGGUCUGAGAGGACGACCAGCCACACUGGAACUGAGACACGGUCCAGACUCCUACGGGAGGCAGCAGUGGGGAAUUUUGGACAAUGGACGCAAGUCUGAUCCAGCCAUUCCGCGUGCAGGAUGAAGGCCCUCGGGUUGUAAACUGCUUUUGUACGGAACGAAAAGGUUUCCAUUAAUACUGGGAGCUCAUGACGGUACCGUAAGAAUAAGCACCGGCUAACUACGUG